UAGGGAAUCUUCGGCAAUGGGGGCAACCCUGACCGAGCAACGCCGCGUGAGUGAAGAAGGUUUUCGGAUCGUAAAGCUCUGUUGUAAGAGAAGAACGUGUGUGAGAGUGGAAAGUUCACACAGUGACGGUAACUUACCAGAAAGGGACGGCUAACUACGUGCCAGCAGCCGGGGUAAUACGUAGGGCCCAAGCGUUUUCCGGAUUUAUUGGGCGUAAAGCGAGCGCAGUCGGUUUAAUAAGUCUGAAGUUAAAGGCAGUGGCUUAACCAUUGGUCGCUUUGGAAACUGUUAAACUUGAGUGCAGAAGGGGAGAGUGGAAUUCCAUGUGUAGCGGUGAAAUGCGUAGAUAUAUUGAGGAACACCGGUUGCGAAAGCGGCUCUCUGGUCUGUAACUGACGCUGAGGCUCGAAAGCGUGGGGAGCAAACAGG
rnacentral:rRNA from 1 species